CUUAUUAUCGGCGGGACAGAGCAGCAGGAACAUUGAGAAACCAGAGUAGUUUUCUUCACUCUAUACUCCAAUAUUAUCAAUCAUCCGUGUUCAGUUUUGCGACAUGUGGCAGUUAUUGAGGUCUCUUCAUUAUCGACAACCUCGACCAGCUAUCCGUGUUCCUCGACAGGUCUCUCACUUUGUCUCCUCCUUGUUGCAAUCAUGAAAAAAGAGCUGCUGAUCCGUUUCUUUUCAGAAUCGGUCUUCCUGCGUUCGAUUUCUAUCUGCUCUCUACUUCUGUGAUAUAUUUUAUUGUUAUUCUCUUCUGUGUUUUUUAACAUUUUUGCUGAAAAGUUUAAAAAAAUCAUGAUUUAAUAAUGUUAAUUUGUAUUUUUAUUAUCUGUGGUAUCAGAUUUUGGGCAGUCAAAAGAGAGAGAUUCCUAAUGUUGUGGCUGCUUCCAUGGAUGGGUUCCGUCUAUGUUGUUCCGAGCUUGAUGCAAUGGAGGCUAAGCUUGCUUCAUGGUCGUUUGCUUUUGUUUUUGAAACUUUUUCAGAUGUAUCUCAGUGUCAGCUAUCACUCUUGCAUUAUAGCUUACUGGGGAAGCCCAUGCCAGAAGGGGAGUCGAGCUUGAUUUUAUUUUUUCACAUCUAAACCCAGCAUUCAAGUUUUGAUUCUUUUGUGGGUGAAUCAGCUUCAUGGACAUUUGCCCCAACCCUAUUGCCUAGAUGUCUGGAGAAGUUGAGGAAAGAGUGAUCAGUUUAUGCACCAUCUUGGAUCAUGGUGUUGGAGAUCCAGAAGAAGAUGGAUAUCUUUGCAUAUAAAGUGGUCAUAGCUGAAGGAAAUUAUAUAUUGUUGGAAGAUGGGGCUUGGAAGGAUGUGUCUUCAAUGUUUGAUGAGAAGUGGUACGUGUUAUGUUCUUGCUAGGCCAGGACGUGUCUUCAAUGUUUGAUAAGAAAUGGUUUAUUGAUGUGGACAUUGAUACAGAAAGGCAGAUAGUUUUAAAGAGACACAUUUCAAAAGGCAUGGGCUCAUUUUCUGUUUUUACUGGUUACUGCUCCUACAGUUCUACUAGGGAAAGGAAAGAAAGUCUUGUGAUUUUAAUUCUAUGUUGUCUAACAGGAAAGCCUCCAGAUGUUUCAAAAUGGCGGGUAAGCCUCACUUUGUUGUCAUCUUCAAACUUGGUUUUUUUUCGGAUUGCUGGUUUUUCUACAUCAAUCUUACUUUCUUGAUUGUAAAUGUAAUGUGGAAUUAAAUUCAUCUGCAGAUAGUACAACGACCAGCGUAAUGCAGAUUUAGUAAUCAGGUCUAUCAAUUUCUAGAAUUGAUAUGAUGAACUAAUGGAGAAAGAGAAAAGAGAUCGUAUUAACUUAAUGGAAACUGAAAAAAUUAAUAAAUAAAUGAAGGAUAUGGCUUCUUCUUUUUUCUCCUUGCUUCUAACAUUUUCAUUCAUGUGUUGAUUUGUUACUUCAAGAUUCAGACUAACCAAGUUAUUCAAAAUGCAGUUUCUAUAGAAGCAAGUUAAUGCCUGGUUCCCUUUAUAGUUUGUACAGAGAGAAGUCAAUAGACUGUAAAACCUGAUUCCUUUGGGCACCUAACACGGGAAAUUGUGAUCUGAUUAAUUGAUUUGUGGCACAAAGUCGGAAACUACUUUAGUUGCUUGUUAAGCAUAAUAGCAUCUCACUGACCAGGUAAAUAAUUGCUGUACAAAGAGAUGCCUUGAUUGUUUUACAGAUAAUGUGUUGCAAAAUGUUUCUCGAGAUAGUUGCUUAUGACCUUUAUGUGCUGCUCUCUUCUUUGUUCUUAAAAUUCUAAGUGGUUUGACUGUUGAAUUUCUGGGGACAAACUGCAGCCUCUGUUAACGGUAAAUGGAAUUAUUCUAUAUUCUAAAUAUGUGAAAUAUAUUGCUCACCCUUAGGCUGCAUAAUGUUGCCUGAGACAAGUCGGAACAUGGUCUGGAGGCUGCAUGACAUGUUUGCUUGAAUGCAUUGGAAAGGCCAUUCAUAUCCCCCACGAAGUCGGGCUAAUUUCUCCUCCAAGAACAAAAGACGAUGGCAGAUUGGUGUCCAGAUUUCCAAACAACAAAAGCCGAAGAUUAGGUGUGGUUUACGGUUUCAUGGCUACCCUGUUCGUCACUAA